rnacentral:rRNA from 1 species
UGAUUCCCCUAGUAACUGCGAGUGAAGAGGGACAAGCUCAAAUUUUAAAUCUGUCGGGUUCACCUGACCGAGUUGUAAUUUGAAGAGACGUUUUCUGCGUUUUUGGUCAGUCCAAGUCCUUUGGGAUAGGGCAUCAUGGAGGGUGAGAAUCCCGUUCGGUUGACCAGAUUCGCUUUAUGAUACGUUUUCGAAGAGUCAAGUUGUUUGGGAUUGCAGCUUAAAAUGGGAGGUAAAUUUCUCCUAGGCUAA